UUGUAUUAACGAUGGGUUGGUACCGAUCGCGGUUUAAUAGGGAAUCCGGAAAAUGCCGGAGCUGUCCCCGCAACUGUGAGCGCCGACGACCGCCGAGGAAGCCACUGCAGACAUGCUGCGGGAAGGCCGGCGGAAGGAAGAAGCGCGAGCCAGUAGACCUGCCGCCCAUCGACAAGCGAC
rnacentral:ncRNA from 2 species